UUGUUGUGGGAAUCUAUGAACGAUGAAUGGGUGCAAAACAAUGCAAUAUUCGUGGGGGAACUCGAGUGUUUGAACCUUGAUAUUUUGAAUUUUCAAAGAAAAAAGUACCGCCUCCUCCGUGACCACGUGUGUUCAUAUGCGCAAAAGUAAAAAAUGAAAACGGUGAUGUGUAAAUGAAAACAAUUUAAACUUAAUUUGUGAAUUAAAACUUUGCAGUGCAAUAAAAUGUCCGGUUCGUUUGCCGGCUUUAGCGAAGAAGACAUAAGAAAUUUAAACAGCAAACGUAGAGGGGAAAUUCAAAAGCAGGAGUUGGGUUUAAAAAAAGCAUCACUAAACAACAACCCAUUAAGGAAACACACAACAUCUAUAAACCACAAAACGACAGAGGUAGCGAAAAAACCUGUAGCUGUCAAUCCAAUACCUGUUGGUGCUAAACUAUGUCCUAGUCCUGAACCAGAACGUGCCAAAGAUACUGAAACGGAACAUGUCACUACAGUGGUCACUGAUCCCCAAGAAUCGCAGUGCGAUAACGAAGAACAAUCGCCGAAUAAUGCCGUGGAUCCACCUCUAAUGGAUACUGAAAUGGAGAUACCAAUUUCCAACAACUUUAUGCAAUUACAAGAGAAAAAAUUAGACUUGAACGAAUUUCAAGAACGCCAAAAACUCAUUGAGGAACAAAAUAAGAAGCGCAAGGAGCUGUUGGCGAAAGCGUUGGCUGUUAGAACGCAACAGACUAAAGAAGAGGCGCAAAAAUUGGAAAAGAUACGCAGCGAGUUCAAAAAGUUGGAUAUGCUACUUUCAGGCGACGUUAAAAUAUUGAGGCACCAAAUCGAAAUUGCCAGUUUAGACUACAUGGAGGCAGAAAAGCGAUAUUAUCGAGUCGAGAAGGAGUAUUUGGAUGCCAAACUUGCUUUGCAUCAAAGAAUGGAGAGGAAGGAGAUGUUAACGGAGCACCUUUGCGCGGUCAUAGAGAAGAAUGAAGAAAGAAAGGCGGAAAAAUUGAAUGAGCUAUUAAGUAAACUUAACCUAAAGACUGAUUUUGAAACUAGCUCUGCAGCUGGCAAUCUACAACGAGACAUUCAUACUGCUGAUGAUCACUCUGGCAGUGCUUCUGAUAAGGCAAAUAGGAAAUAAAUUUAUUUUUAUAUUCAUAUGGUUUUCCCUGAUGGCAAGCUGCCAAAACGACAUGUUAGGAAUUUUGGAAUUUAAAUUAUUGUACCUACCCGUAAUUAACAAAAACGCUUUUAACACUUUCUUGUGGUCACAGUUCUUCCCAUAUUGUGGAACGGAAUUGGUUGGUACAACAAAUUAAAUGACUCCUGAGUCCUGUAUGCAAUUUACAAGGUACAGGACACAUAUAAUACACAAUACUUGUGAUGCAGCACCAAAUACAACAUACUAAUAAGUAUAGUAGUAAUAAUUAUCAUUUAUUAUUAUCUCAUUAUUUCUGUAGAUUGUAGAUGCAAAUUAGAGAAGCAAAUAAGGAGCUUUGUUUAGGAUAUAACUCGCAUCGCAGCCGCCAUCAGGUGUAUAAAAGAAAAAACCAUUUUUGUAUUUCAAUAUGCCAUUGCAUAUGAAUAUUCUCAAAGCAAUACUUUUGAUAUUAUAAUAUAUUAUUUUAGCUACUUGUUUCUAAACCAAUAAAGUAUUAU